UACGGAGGGGGCUAGCGUUGUUCGGAAUUACUGGGCGUAAAGGGCGCGUAGGCGGCAUGCCAAGCGUGUGGUGAAAGCCCGGGGCUCAACCCCGGGUCGGCCGUGCGGACUGGCGUGCUCGAGCACUGUAGGGGCGGGUGGAAUUCCGGGUGUAGCGGUGGAAUGCGUAGAGAUCCGGAAGAACACCGGUGGCGAAGGCGGCCCGCUGGGCAGGAAGGCUCGCAAGAGCCGGCUGACGCUGAGGCGCGACAGCGUGGGGAGCAAACAGG
rnacentral:rRNA from 1 species